GUCUCCAUGAGUGAAAAACCUCAGACUCUGUCACAGUGACUGCCAUUAACUGAUGAAAUCAGUUAGGCUAGCAGCACUACCUGCUGAAAACUGACCCAGCAAAGUCACAGAGGAAGAGAUGGCAGUAUAGAAUAAAUGAAACAAAAAGAUAGUGGACUGUGUUUUCUUCUUGUUCUGUGUUUAGAAAGAUGGUUCUGCAUAUGCAAGCACCACCGAAAAGUGAACAGCUGUAGCACCACAGCUCCAUUCAGGGACAUCCUCUAAAGGACAGAGGUGAAGGACAUCUUCCCAGUGUGCAGAGCAGUGCCCCUGGAGGAGAAAUGGCAAGAGUAAUGAAAAGAACUCCGGAACUCAGAUUUCAGCUGACUAAAUGUGCUAACUAUGAGGCCCUGGACCAGUUCUUGAAUGCGCAAAAUGUUUUAUUUACUCAUUUACAAAGUAAGAGUUGGGCUACAGGAUCUGCAAACUUACUUCCAUCCAUGAAGAUUUUGGCCUCCAAUUGUGAUCAAAUUCUGAAUGGUAAAACCAAGGCUUGGAGAGAGUUUGAGUUGCCUGCCUGAGUUCAUAUGGCUGGAUUCUAUUAUAUAUAAAACGGAAAUGCUACCAGCUUGGAGCUUUUCAAAUUUUCAGGACUUUUGGUCAUUCUUUUUUCCAGUGAGCAUGUGAAUCAAGUAGAAACAAAACUAAACACAAACACACACCAAAUAAAGAGGAAACAUAGAAAGUUCUCCCAUGCAUCCCUUCUCACCCCAACCCUGCUGUUUGCAUCCUGUCCUGCUGAGAUAGAUUUCAGGAAGGCAAACCACCUAAGCACCCCUCGAUUUGCCCAUUGUUCUAAUUUUGCAGACCUAUCAUUUUUCACCUGAGCACAGUUGCCAAGCACCGGUAAGAUGCCUUGGUGAAAAACCCACACCUCCCAGACUGCAGCCAUCCUGUCUGUCCCCUCAGUCCCAGCCAUUCCAUCAUGCCGUGUGGACCUGCCUGGAGCUGUUUGUUGAGCUGCUUCAUGUUACUCUUUGACUGAGAGAGAGACAAAUGUUCCAUAUUAUCUUUAAUUUCCAUAAAAUUGUUUUAAUCUUUGCUUUAUAAUAAAUGUAUAACAGCGCCCUCGGGGGAUCUCUGUUUUGUAUUAUAGGUGUCUCAGUUGGAGUU